GGAUGAACGCUAGCGGCAGGCUUAACACAUGCAAGUCGAGGGGCAGCACAGGUGGCAACACCGGGUGGCGACCGGCGUAAGGGUGCGUAACACGUGAGCAACAUACCCGUAUCUGGAGGAUAACCGGAGGAAACUCUGCCUAAUACUCCAUAACAUCACCGUACGGCAUCGUCCGGUGAUUAAAGAUUAAUCGGACACGGAUUGGCUCGCGGGACAUUAGCUCGUUGGUGAGGUAACGGCUCACCAAGUCUACGAUGGAUAGGGGUUCUGAGAGGAAGGUCCCCCACAUUGGAACUGAAACACGGUCCAAACUCCUACGGGAGGCAGCAGUGAGGAAUAUUGGUCAAUGGACGAGAGUCUGAAUCAGCCAAGUAGCGUGAAGGAUGACUGCCCUAUGGGUUGUAAACUUCUUUUAUAAGGGAAUAAAGUGAGGGACGUGUCCCUUUUUGUAUGUACCUUAUGAAUAAGGAUCGGCUAACUCCGUGCCAGCAGCCGCGGUAAUACGGAGGAUCCAAGCGUUAUCCGGAUUUAUUGGGUUUAAAGGGAGCGUAGGUUGACAUAUAAGUCAGCUGUGAAAGUUUACGGCUCAACCGUGAAAUUGCAGUUGAUACUGUAUGUCUUGAGUGUACAAGAGGUGGGCGGAAUUCGUGGUGUAGCGGUGAAAUGCUUAGAUAUCACGAAGAACUCCAAUUGCGAAGGCAGCUCACUGGGGUACAACUGACACUGAGGCUCGAAAGUGUGGGUAUCAAACAGGAUUAGAUACCCUGGUAGUCCACACAGUAAACGAUGAAUACUCGCUGUUUGCGAUAUACAGUAAGCGGCCAAGCGAAAGCAUUAAGUAUUCCACCUGGGGAGUACGCCGGCAACGGUGAAACUCAAAGGAAUUGACGGGGGCCCGCACAAGCGGAGGAACAUGUGGUUUAAUUCGAUGAUACGCGAGGAACCUUACCCGGGCUUGAAUUGCAGAGGAACAUAGUUGAAAGAUUAUGGCCGCAAGGUCUCUGUGAAGGUGCUGCAUGGUUGUCGUCAGCUCGUGCCGUGAGGUGUCGGCUUAAGUGCCAUAACGAGCGCAACCCUUAUCAUUAGCUACUAACAGGUCAUGCUGAGGACUCUAGUGAGACUGCCGUCGUAAGAUGUGAGGAAGGUGGGGAUGACGUCAAAUCAGCACGGCCCUUACGUCCGGGGCUACACACGUGUUACAAUGGGGGGUACAGAGGGCAGCUACCGGGCGACCGGAUGCCAAUCCCAAAAACCUCUCUCAGUUCGGAUCGAAGUCUGCAACCCGACUUCGUGAAGCUGGAUUCGCUAGUAAUCGCGCAUCAGCCACGGCGCGGUGAAUACGUUCCCGGGCCU
rnacentral:rRNA from 1 species